AUUGAACGCUGGCGGUAUGCUUAACACAUGCAAGUCGAACGGUAACAGGGUCUAGCUUGCUAGACUGCUGACGAGUGGCGGACGGGUGAGUAACGCGUAGGAAUCUGUCUAAGUGUCUGGGACAACACGGGGAAACUCGUGCUGAUACCGGAUAAUCUUUGCGAAGGAAAGAUGGGGUUUACCCUGUCGCACAUAGGUGAGCCUGCGUUAGAUUAGCUAGUUGGUGGGGUAAAGGCCUACCAAGGCGACGAUCUAUAGCUGUUCUGAGAGGAAGAUCAGCCACACGGGGACUGAGACACGGCCCAGACUCUUACGGGAGGCAGCAGUGGGGAAUAUUGGACAAUGGGGGCAACCCUGAUCCAGCAAUACCGCGUGUGUGAAGAAGGCCUGAGGGUUGUAAAGCACUUUCGGCGAGGAGGAAGGGUAUAUCCAGAUAUUUUGAUGUUAUCAACAAAAGAAGCACCGGCAAACUCUGUGCCAGCCGCCGCAGUAA
rnacentral:rRNA from 1 species